rnacentral:rRNA from 1 species
AUUGCAGGCUGCAACCCGCCUGCAUGAAGUCGGAAUUGCUAGUAAUCGCGGAUCAGCAUGCCGCGGUGAAUACGUUCCCGGGCCUUGUACACACCGCCCGUCACACCAUGGGAGCCGGUAAUACCCGAAGUCAGUAGUCCAACCUCGUGAGGACGCUGCCGAAGGUAGGAUUGGCGACUGGGGGUGAAGUCGUAACAAGGUAUC